GGCUUCGUAGUUUAGCUGGUAGAUCGCUUGUUGCGUCGAGGCAUGGUGUUUCUGUCGCUGGUUCGAAUCCAGCCGAAGCCU
rnacentral:tRNA from 1 species